GUGGGGAAUAUUGCACAAUGGGGGAAACCCUGAUGCAGCGACGCCGCGUGAGUGAAGAAGUAUUUCGGUACGUAAAGCUCUAUCAGCAAGGAAGAAAAUGACGGUACUUGACUAAGAAGCCCCGGCUAACUACGUGCCAGCAGCCGCGGUAAUACGUAGGGGGCAAGCGUUAUCCGGAUUUACUGGGUGUAAAGGGAGCGUAGACGGUAUGGUAAGUCAGAUGUGAAAGCCCGGGGCUCAACCCCGGGACUGCAUUUGAAACUAUCAGACUAGAGUGCAGGAGAGGUAAGUGGAAUUCCUAGUGUAGCGGUGAAAUGCGUAGAUAUUAGGAGGAACACCAGUGGCGAAGGCGGCUUACUGGACUGUAACUGACGUUGAGGCUCGAAAGCGUGGGGAGCAAACAGGAUUAGAAACCCCAGUAGUCC
rnacentral:rRNA from 1 species